UACGAAGGGGGCUAGCGUUGCUCGGAAUUAUUGGGCGUAAAGGGUGCGUAGGCGGUUUUGUAAGUCUUGUGUGAAAUCUUUCAGGCUCAACUUGAAGACUGCACGAGAAACUGCAGGGCUUGAGUGUGGGAGAGGUGAGUGGAAUUCCUGGUGUAGCGGUGAAAUGCGUAGAUAUCAGGAGGAACACCUGUGGCGAAAGCGGCUCACUGGACCACAACUGACGCUGAUGCACGAAAGCUAGGGGAGCAAACAGG
rnacentral:rRNA from 1 species